rnacentral:rRNA from 1 species
CCUACGGGGGGCAGCAGUGAGGAAUAUUGGUCAAUGGACGAGAGUCUGAACCAGCCAAGUAGCGUGAAGGAUGACUGCCCUAUGGGUUGUAAACUUCUUUUAUAUGGGAAUAAAACGUUCCACGUGUGGGAUUUUGUAUGUACCAUAUGAAUAAGGAUCGGCUAACUCCGUGCCAGCAGCCGCGGUAAUACGGAGGAUCCGAGCGUUAUCCGGAUUUAUUGGGUUUAAAGGGAGCGUAGGUGGAUUGUUAAGUCAGUUGUGAAAGUUUGCGGCUCAACCGUAAAAUUGCAGUUGAAACUGGCAGUCUUGAGUACAGUAGAGGUGGGCGGAAUUCGUGGUGUAGCGGUGAAAUGCUUAGAUAUCACGAAGAACUCCGAUUGCGAAGGUAGUUCACUGGACUGCAACUGACACUGAGGCUCGAAAGUGUGGGUAUCAAACAGGAUUAGAUACCCCAGUAGUC